GGAAACAUUAGUUCAGUCCAUUUCCAGUUCCUCUAGUGAGUGAGUUUACUCAUCCACUGGAAACAUAAAUAAUAGAAUUAUGACUCUGAUGUCAAGACCCAUAUUUUCGGCAGAAAUGGUCUUUGCUCUGUGGGCUGUGUUUGUUCUGGUGAAUUUCACCUCGGCGUAUGAAAUCCAGGAUACAGUCCACUCUCUUUUGGAGGAGAACGCGUACCUCCAUCACCGACUGGAGAACCUCACAGGAGUGCUGCAUGGCUUGAAAAGGCUGCUCCUGGAUCAUAAACAGGAUGCCGUGAGUGGACAGGACAGUGAGCAGCUGCGGGCCUGGAAUGAAUGGGUGCACCAUGGUAUGACCGCAGAAACAAAUCACCUGCUGCAGCAGGCGUUUUGCUGGUCGGACAGCGGAGCAGCUGCUCAGCACAUUCCUGCCUGUCUCCUGGUUCUUCUGUCACCUUCCAUCUCUCUGUUCCUGCAACUGCUCUUUGAGUAUCUGCUCUGACUUUAACUGCAUGUUGGCCCGAUAAAAGUUUUUGACGUGUCUAAUUAUUCUUUACUAGACCCAUCAGCCUGACUGAAUUCGCUUUGUUUUACGUAGUUGUCAAAUCUUAUUAUUGUAGUGUGACCCAGUCUUGCAAAAGAACUUGAUAGGCGUCAGACUUGAUAAUAUGAAGCUUGCAUUUUUACCCAUGGCAUUGUGCUCAUUUAAUGCAGGAAUAUUGCGACCGUCAAUAUAGAACUCGUACUUCCAAAACUACUUUGCACAUUUGCUCAAGAGGC
rnacentral:lncRNA from 1 species